CCUACGGGGGGCAGCAGUGGGGGAUAUUGGACAAUGGGGGGAACCCUGAUCCAGCGACGCCGCGUGAGUGAAGAAGUAUCUCGGUAUGUAAAGCUCUAUCAGCAGGGAAGAAGAAAUGACGGUACCUGAGUAAGAAGCCCCGGCUAACUACGUGCCAGCAGCCGCGGUAAUACGUAGGGGGCAAGCGUUGUUCGGAAUGACUGGGCGUAAAGGGUGUGUAGGUGGUUUGAUAAGUUAGAUGUGUAAUACCCAGGGCUUAACUCGGGUGCUGCAUCUAAAACUGUUAGACUUGAGUACUGGAGAGGAUAGUGGAAUUCCUAGUGUAGCGGUGGAAUGCGUAGAUAUUAGGAGGAACAUCAGUGGCGAAGGCGACUAUCUGGACAGCAACUGACACUGAGGCACGAAAGCGUGGGGAGCAAACAGGAUUAGAUACCCGAGUAGUC
rnacentral:rRNA from 1 species